AAGGAGGGCUGGGCGGCGGUGGGCCCAGCCCCUCACAGCCACAGAACUCUGGAUCACCAAAGUGCUGAGGCCUCAAACUAGACAGGAAGUGGAGGGAUUGGGGAUGUUCCCUCGGCAAGAGGGUGCCAUGUAGAACGUAGAAACGGGGACUCUAAAAUGCC
ensembl:misc_RNA